rnacentral:rRNA from 1 species
AAAUUUUUAUGUUUUAAAAAAUUUAUUAUAAAUUUAUUUUACAUAUAAAUUUUAGUAUGAAAUUUUAAUUAUUUUAAUAAUAAAAAUAUAAAGUGUAGUAAAUAUAAUUAAAAAUUUAAGAAAUUAAGAUUUAGUAAUAUAAAAAUUAAUAGCUAAUUUUGUGCCAGCAGUUGCGGUUAAACAAGAAUUAAAUUAAAUUAUAUCAGUAUAUAAUUAAUAAAAAUAAAUUUAAUAUAAAUAUUAAAUUAUUAGGUAAAAUUUUAAUUUAAUUAAAUAUUAUAAUUAAUUUAUGAUUUAAUAAAUUUAAGAAUAAACUAGGAUUAGAUACCCUAUUAUUAUAAAUUUAAUUAAUGAUACUAAAAUAGUAAAUAAUAUAAUUGAAACUUAAAUAAUAUGGCGGUAUUUUAGUUCAUUUAGAGGAAUCUGUUUAAUAAUUGAUAAUCCACGAUUAAAUUUACUUAAUUUAAAAUUUUAUAUAUCAUUGUUAUAAAAAUAUUUUUUAAUAAAAAUAAUAUUUUAAAAUUAAAAAUAAAAUUAAUUCAGAUCAAGAUGUAGAUUAUAAUUAAGAAUAUAAUGGAUUACAAUAAAAUAAUUUAAUAUGAAUAAAUUAAUUGAAAAAUAAUUUUGAAGGUGGAUUUAAAUGUAAUUUUGUUUAAUUUAUCAAAAUGAUUAAAAAUUAAAAUAUGUACAUAUUGCCCGUCACUUUCAUUUUGAAAUUGAAAUAAGUCGUAACAAAGUAGAAGUACUGGAAAGUGUUUCUAGAAAGAA